rnacentral:pre_miRNA from 1 species
CGGGGGAGGCGGGAUCCUGGGCUGUGUCCCGGCGCCCUGUGCUCCGGAGCCUGCGCUGUUGGAUUCGCGCUCCCGGGCCGCCGCCGCGCAGCCCCCU